CUUAACGCGAAGAACCUUACCUACUCUUGACAUCCACGGAAUUUGGCAGAGAUGCCUUAGUGCCUUCGGGAACCGUGAGACAGGUGCUGCAUGGCUGUCGUCAGCUCGUGUUGUGAAAUGUUGGGUUAAGUCCCGCGACGAGCGCAACCCUUAUCCUUUGUUGCCAGCGGUUCGGCCGGGAACUCAAAGGAGACUGCCGGUGAUAAACCGGAGGAAGGUGGGGAUGACGUCAAGUCAUCAUGGCCCUUACGAGUAGGGCCACACACGUGCUACAAUGGCGUAUACAAAGAGAAGCGACCUCGCGAGAGCAAGCGGACCUCACAAAGUGCGUCGUAGUCCGGAUCGGAGUCUGCAACUCGACUCCGUGAAGUCGGAAUCGCUAGUAAUCGUGGAUCAGAAUGCCACGGUGAAUACGUUCCCGGGCCUUGUACACACCGAAG
rnacentral:rRNA from 1 species